rnacentral:hammerhead_ribozyme from 1 species
AUCCAGCUGAUGAGUCCCAAAUAGGACGAGACGCAUGUCUUCGAU